GACGAACGCUGGCGGCGUGCUUAACACAUGCAAGUCGAACGGGCCUUGUCCCCUUUUUUUUUGGGGGUGGGGUUAGUGGCGAACGGGUGAGUAACACGUGAGUAACCUGCCCCUCACUUCUGGAUAACCGCUUGAAAGGGUGGCUAAUACGGGGUGUUCUGGCCUGCUCGCAUGGGUGGGUUUGGAAAGAUUCGACCGGUUUUGGUUGUUUUGGUGGGGGAUGGGCUCGCGGCCUAUCAGCUUGUUGGUGGGGUGAUGGCCUGCCAAGGCUUUGACGGGUAGCCGGCCUGAGAGGGUGGGCGGUCACACUGGGACUGAGACACGGCCCAGACUCCUACGGGAGGCAGCAGUGGGGAAUAUUGCACAAUGGGCGCAAGCCUGAUGCAGCGACGCCGCGUGAGGGAUUGAGGCCUUCGGGUUGGGAACCUCUUUCGCCAGUGAAGAAGGUCCUGCUCUUUGUGGUGGGGUUGACGGUAGCUGGGUUAAUGAAGCGCCGGCUAACUACGUG
rnacentral:rRNA from 1 species